rnacentral:rRNA from 1 species
AUUGAACGCUGGCGGCAGGCCUAACACAUGCAAGUCGAGCGGGGGUAGCAAUACCCUAGCGGCGAACGGGUGAGGAAUGCUUGGGAAUCUGCCUGGUAGUGGGGGAUAACGUUCCGAAAGGAACGCUAAUACCGCAUACGUCCUACGGGAGAAAGGGGGGAUCUUCGGACCUCUCGCUAUCAGAUGAGCCCAAGCGGGAUUAGCUAGUUGGUGAGGUAACGGCUCACCAAGGCGACGAUCCCUAGCUGGUCUGAGAGGAUGAUCAGCCACACUGGAACUGAGACACGGUCCAGACUCCUACGGGAGGCAGCAGUGGGGAAUAUUGGACAAUGGGCGAAAGCCUGAUCCAGCCAUGCCGCGUGUGUGAAGAAGGCCUUCGGGUUGUAAAGCACUUUAAGCGAGGAGGAAGGUUCGUCACCUAAUACGUGACGGAAUUGACGUUACUCGCAGAAUAAGCACCGGCUAACUCUGUGCCAGCCGCCGCGGUAACAC